UGUUCAUGCAUUAUGUCUUUGUUUUAGCUUCUUGCUCAAUAUUUCCUUUUAAAUGUUUAGCGAUGAUUACAGCAAGAGGCAAGUCACCUGUUAACCACAUUCCUCACAUUUUAAUCCUUGUUUUCUCCAAGAAGAAUUGGCUGGAAUUUUCCUGCUGCAUCCAAUGACAAUAACAGAAGCGGAGCGGAGACAGAAAGCAGCUUUGACAGAAGAAGUAAACGGAAAGUCAAGAACAAGUGGAGCAGAAGAAGGCACUGUAAAUGCAAAAAUUGUUUUAAAGGACUCCCUGUCCAUACUGUUGCAGCACUGUACCAGACAGCACACUAUUCAGAACUGAGAAUCAGUGCAGUUCCUCCUGAACAGAGCUGCACUGAAUGGAGCAGAGCUGGCACAAACCUAGAACAAUGAGAGUCUAGCCAGGUCCUGUCAGUGGCACGGUGGUCCUGUUUGAGCAAGAGAGUGGUUAAGGAGAACGCUUUACAGUGGUGUCACCAGCGAUCUGCCUGACCUAUCAGUCCUCCAAGUGGCAUAAGUGUUUAAAAAAAAAAAAAACUAUUACACUACCACAGUUAUUAGUAUUUUACAUAACUAUUGACCUAUCAGUCCUCCAAGUGGCAUAAGUGUUUAAAAAAUAAUAAUAAUACUAUUACACUACCACAGUUAUUAGUAUUUUACAUAACUAUUGACCUAUCAGUCCUCCAAGUGGCAUAAGUGUUUAAAAAAUAAUAAUAAUACUAUUACACUACCACAGUUAUUAGUAUUUUACAUAACUAUUGACCUAUCAGUCCUCCAAGUGGCAUAAGUGUUUAAAAAAUAAUAAUAAUACUAUUACACUACCACAGUUAUUAGUAUUUUACAUAACUAUUACACUGUAUCAAAGUUUCUAAAAUGUACGUGUUUAUAUUUACAUGUUUAGAUUACACUAGUGAGCAAGACACCGUAUUAAAGUUAUAUAUAUAUAUUUGCAUUUACAUUAUAUUUAAUUUACAUUUUUUAUUCUAAUCUGUACAAAUAAAACCAAAUUAAUCCAUCCCAAGUGUUUUGUGUUAGGCCAGAUCUCUCUGUGGAAGACCGACUGAAAGGUGGACCAUGAAGAGGAGGAACUCAUCGAAGGGCUGCAGAGACUGACACUGUCAAAAUAAAUUUUAAAUAAUUAUGAUACAUGCAUGUAACGUGUGCAUCAAAAAAUACAAAUAUAUAUAACAUUUUCUUUCUCUGUCACAAACAAUAUAAUAUCAAUAUUUACCAUUGCA